rnacentral:rRNA from 1 species
GACGAACGCUGGCGGCGUGCCUAACACAUGCAAGUCGAACGGAACUGUUUUGAAAGAUUUCUUCGGAAUGAAUUUGAUUUAGUUUAGUGGCGGACGGGUGAGUAACGCGUGAGUAACCUGCCUUCAAGAGGGGAAUAACAUUCUGAAAAGAAUGCUAAUACCGCAUGACAUAUCGGAACCACAUGGUUUUGAUAUCAAAGAUUUUAUCGCUUGAAGAUGGACUCGCGUCCGAUUAGUUAGUUGGUGAGGUAACGGCUCACCAAGACCGCGAUCGGUAGCCGGACUGAGAGGUUGAACGGCCACAUUGGGACUGAGACACGGCCCAGACUCCUACGGGAGGCAGCAGUGGGGGAUAUUGCGCAAUGGGGGCAACCCUGACGCAGCAACGCCGCGUGAAGGAUGAAGGUUUUCGGAUUGUAAACUUCUUUUAUUAAGGACGAAAAAUGACAGUACUUAAUGAAUAAGCUCCGGCUAACUACGUG